rnacentral:rRNA from 1 species
CAGUAGCCGCGGGAAUACGUAGGUGGCAAGCGUUGUCCGGAAUUAUUGGGCGUAAAGGGCUCGCAGGCGGUUUCCUAAGUCUGAUGUGAAAGCCCCCGGCUCAACCGGGGAGGGUCAUUGGAAACUGGGAAACUUGAGUGCAGAAGAGGAGAGUGGAAUUCCACGUGUAGCGGUGAAAUGCGUAGAGAUGUGGAGGAACACCAGUGGCGAAGGCGACUCUCUGGUCUGUAACUGACGCUGAGGAGCGAAAGCGUGGGGAGCGAACAGGAUUAGAUACCCGCGUAGUCCCUGUCUCUUAUCC